rnacentral:rRNA from 1 species
GUGGGGAAUAUUGCGCAAUGGGGGAAACCCUGACGCAGCAACGCCGCGUGAGUGAUGAAGGCUUUCGAGUCGUAAAACUCUGUCUUUGGGGACGAAUAAUGACGGUACCCAAGGAGGAAGCCCCGGCGAACUACGUGCCAGCAGCCGCGGCAAUACGCAGGGGGCAAGCGUUGUCCGGAAUCACUGGGCGGAAAGGGCGCGUAGGCGGUUUGUUAAGUCAGGUGUGAACGUUUUCAGCUUAACUGGAAAAGUGCACUUGAAACUAACUUGCUUGAGUACUGGAGAGGUAAGCGGAACUACUAGUGUAGCGGUGAAAUGCGUAGAUAUUAGGAAGAACACCGGUGGCGAAGGCGGCUUACUGGACAGAGACUGACGCUGAGGCGCGAAAGCGUGGGGAGCGAACAGGAUUAGAAACCCCGGUAGUCC